UAGUACUCUUGCAGAUCAAACGUCCCCUUUAUCCUUAUCCUCCUAUCUUUCAAAUUUGUUUGCGUCCGUAUCCAGCGGAAACCGGGUUUUGAAUCCUAAAUCCGUAUGAAGCUAUGAAAGCUAUAAAUUUUCUCCCAGUAUAUGAUGGAAACAAAAUAGGCGAUUAUCUGGUUCGGGUUUCCUAUUAUACCUGGAGAACAGUGUUCGUUACCUGGAUAACAGUUAUGACUGUGGAGCUACUGUGAUGUAUAUUGCACAAAAAAAAGCUGAUGGAGAAUUAGUCGAAGGUGUCUCUUCGGCAGAGGCAAUGAAGAAUAUGAGAGCACAUGUCCUUUGUAGAUUCAUAAAUGAGGGAGAUGGUAGCUGGGAAAAGGAAGAGUAGGAUAAAGAUGUUAUGCGAAAUUUGAGUUUUUGUUUCAUAUAAGUGUUUCAAUUUAAUAAAUGAUGGGACUCCAAUCCAUCCGAAUUCAUUUUCUGCUAUAUAAGUUUGGAUGUUAUGUGAACUGAGAUAUGCUUUGUCAUAUCUGUUUUUUAAUUUCAAUUUCCAGUGAAAGGGGAUAUUCUUCAUA